UUCUCUUCUUCCUCCCGACUUCCGAUCUAGGCCACAAUCGUCUCCGUUGAAUCCUCCUGAGAUUCUGCCCGCGGCGGAGAGGAUUUCGCCGGCAUCAGCUUGGAUUCCAGCAAUAUAGAGGGUAGCGGCCAACUCCUACAUGGCGUGUGCGCGCCGACAAUUCUGAGGACGCGUUCGAUCUGGAGUGGACUCCCCCGCCGUCCCCAAAGAUUGGUCGAGAAGAGCUGCAGCUGCUGUCACGCGCGAGAAAAAAGCCAAGUCGGCUGGCGGCCAAGGCAGAGAGGAGCCAGGCAAGACGGACAAGAGCGUGGUGCUGGUUGUGUUUGAGCAGCGGUAGGUGGUGGUGUUGUGUGGGUGCAGCUACUACUGGAUGCAUGUAUCACACUGCAGACAAGGGGAAAGCCACCGCGCGACCCCACGUCGGCAGCGGCGCGGAAGCGGCCGGCUUCCUAGAAGACACCUCCCCGGAACCCGCGCCUCCUUCUGCAGCAGCAACAGCCUCCGUGGCGCCUUCCACGACACUGAUGACGAAGCAGGAGACCGAGACGAGGUCGCUUGCUGCCAUGGAUAUGAACGCACUGGUGGUGUUCGACGAAAUGCCUUCAAGUUUUACAGGUGGGAAGCUAACCAGAUUCAUAGAGUGAAGGUAGCCAAGAUGGAUUUGGGUGCAGCUAAAAUGAGCAAACACCUACACUUUCAUCGGUUGUGUCCCUCAGGAGUUUAGCAUUGCAGUGUUUCCACUUUCCAACAUCAAAUCAAAUACUUCACGUGGAGACUUCACUUUGUGCUUCAGGUGCCAAUCAUUAUCUGUCCACAAUCUUCUGUUGGUUCAGAUGUUCGCAUGUUGUUUGUUACAUUGCUGUCAACUGCAAAUAAGCAUUUUAUGCUGGAAAAUGUUACAUUGAUGUCAGCUGUAAAUGAACAGUUUAUGAUUUACAUAGACUAAAAUUUGGGGAUUAGGAAGAAUUAUGUAAAAUGACACGAAAGUUACACAACCUUCAUCAAUGGCAGGUGUUCCCGUUUCCCCUACUUCUAGCUAGCAAUACUGGGAGUAGUUACUCUCCAGACUCCAGUUUGCAUCCAAUUUUUGCUAGGCUACCACUUGCACGAGCAAAUCUGAUGUCUUUUCCUAUCUCAUAACUCUAGGAUGCUUACUGUUUAAUGAUUGUUUGUGUUCUGGAAUCGUUUUGAUUUCCCGAUUUCAACCUAAACUAUUCAUUUUUGUAGUCAACAAAGCUUAUUGUGUUAUUAGUUUAGGUACAACUAGAAUUAUUAUUCUUUUUUCCACUUAAAUUGGUUUGAUGAAGUUAAAUUUAGUGUAAUAGUUUAUAUCAUGGUAGAUGUCAGAUGAAAUUCAUCAGUUAGGGCAUUUAGUUUUAGAUUAUUAGUAGUGAUGUUUUUUGAAGAAGCAGUAAACAUUAGACCAUACUAGAGUUAUAUUUUGCAUGUUAGCUCUUUGGUUUCAUGGAGGCAUUUGAAUUUAGUCUGGUCCCAACAUCUUUGAAGAUGACGUACAUGUUGUUGCUUAUUGCAUAUGAGGCAAAUCGCUAAUUUGCAUCUACCUUAAGAAGUGUUGUGAAUGCUACAUCUGCACAUUCAUGUAAGCUGCAUGAAUUGGGUAUUGUUCAUUCGAUUGCAUAUCAUGCAACCUAGCAGCCUAUCGAUGAGGAAUUCAGGUUGCUAUGUAUGGGGUGACAUUUUGGAGAUAUGUGUGGUUCAAUUUCUUUUGUGCUCAUUCAGGCCAUUCUCACAUGUAAGAACGGAUUUUUGGGACGGUCAUCUAUUUAUCUGUUCGGCGCUUGACUUCAGUCAUGUGUGAGGUACUAAAAUGAUUCUGAGCUUCAGAUCACGCAUAUUUGUAGAAGGUUGCUAUUAUAGUCCAAUUAUUCAGGGUUUUCUUAUUGCAAUAUCGGAAUGAUUUGGUUUCUUUUAGGUGCGAGGAGCUAACUUAGCUAAAAUAUUUCAUUUGCCAUAUAGUUUUUUUUGUAUUCUCUAGCAAGUGUAUGUGCAACGAAAUUAAAGGUUCUUGAGAUGGUUGAUGAUAUAAGGACAUAUUCCCCGGUUAUAUGGUUUACUUCAAUCUUCAUCAGCCAGAACAAGGUCAUAGAUCCUCUCCCCGCAAUAAGAAUAGGUUUUUGUGGGUCUAUUUUUUUUUAUCUUGUUUCUAACUUGAGUUAACUGGUUGGUCUGACUGAGCAAGAAUUGAGAUUUAUUCACGUAUUGUAUCUUUUGGAAUAACUGUUAGUUCACAUGACUCAUUUGAUAUUAUUCUAAGUUGUAAGCCUGGUCAUUGACCUGACUUUCGAGGUCACUCCCGGCUGGGGCGUGCACAAGCGUUGGGUAUUGGAUUGAAGAGCACUUGUCUCGUCGAGCAGGGGUGAUAAGCUGGACUUUUUUUGCUGGGGUUGAGGCUUCUUCCAACAACCAUUUGGCCCAUCCACAACCCUAGAAUUUGUUAAUUUGUGUGCUAAAGGCAGUUUUAUAAGGAAAAAAAACAUGAACCUUAUGCUUUACUGAUAUUGAUAAAUCUGAAUAUUUCAGACCAGAAUGUUGCCAAAGGCUUGAAGAUUUCAUAUCAUCUCUCUGCACACACAAUUUAUUUCUGGGGUUGCUUUGGUCUAUAUUAUUUGUGUUCUUAGAGGCACAAGAGAGGAAAUGAGUGUGCUUACAUUACUAUGAAGGUUUGUUUACAUUAUAUGAUUAACUUGGGUGGUUAAUCCAAGAGGCAUUGGUUUCAGUACCAACUAACCAUAAGCAUUUUAGCUAUGGUUCCUUUUUGCUUAUCCUAGAGCGUUUUAUCAGGUGUCCCCUACUUUUUAGUGUUGGAAUCUGAUGUGACCUGGAUAAAAUGACUAGGUAGAGUGCAACUUAGGUUAGAAUCUGGAUAUAAAUUCGAGCCUUCUGUUUUUGAUUUAUUGACCACAUUGCCUGUAACAUUGUGGUGCCCCAACUUCUUGAGACAGGUGGUGCACACAGUUUGUGUUUUACGGCUACUAGGGGUGAAACCUGCGUGGUGCAUUUUACCCAGCGGGGCGGCAGGUUUGUCGGUUCGUGGCGCGUGGUUGUUGGUGUCUACUGAUUUUGGUGCUUCUAUUUGCGGUUGUGGCGUUGUCUUUUCCUGCAUCUUGUGAGGUGGUUUGCUUUCCAUGUCUGAUUGGUGAGCUAUUCUUGGUUUUGCUGCUUGAGGGUAUAUAUUGGCAUGUCAAUCAAGAAUGUAAAGAAGACUGAAACUGAGUUUCAUCCACCUGGUCCUAUCAACAUUGUAGAGAAGGCUGAAUCCUGUCAAGAAUAUUAGAAUUUUAACAUCACUCGGCAUGCCAGGGUUGUACCAUGUCAAGUGCACACAUAGCAACAGUUCAUCUAUGUGAGUAAUUGUUGUGAGAGUGACCUAAUUUAUGUUUCCAGAUUAAAGUUAUGCAUGUUUUGUUUGCCUUGGUAAAAAAUGCAUUUCUGUAUCUACUGAUGAUGAUGGUUAUGUCUUCCAGAGGCUGAACUACAUAUGAGCGCUUUAAA